AUUCCUUAUCCUUACCCCAGGGAAUUGUUGCCUGUACGUCCCCUGGCAUUAAUUGAGGAUAAAACAUUUGCUCUCAUUCUUACCUCGGAAACUUGUUUUCAUUUGGAAUGUUGAGCAGACAAC